rnacentral:piRNA from 2 species
AACCAGUGAUGUGAUGAUUCUGCCAAAUGA